GUGGCCCAGCCGCACAUAUGCUAAAAUCGGAACAAUACAGACAAGAUCAGUGCGGCCCCUGUGCAAGGCCGACACGGGACUCGUAUCUUCUUGUGAUUGUAU
rnacentral:snRNA from 1 species